UUGUUCGAAAUGGAAGUGGGCUCUGAGCUGUCCGUGGUGCGGAGCAGAAAGGUGGUAUUGGAUUCAGGGAUCUGCCCAGCUCACAUCUUCAUAGAAGGGGGUAAGAUUGUGGACAUUGUGCCUGAGGGAGUCACAGCGCCACAGACAACAAAUCAACAGAUUCUGGAUGUUGGAGACCUCGUGGUGAUGCCUGGUGUGGUGGACAGUCACGUCCAUGUUAAUGAACCGGGACGCACCAAUUGGGAAGGCUAUUGGACAGCGACAAGAGCAGCAGCAGCAGGUGGAAUAACAACUAUUGCUGACAUGCCACUGAACAGCAUCCCACCAACAACUACGUUAGAAAACUUCCAAACAAAACUGCAUGCAGCUAGAGACAAGUGUUUUGUUGAUACUGUGUUUUGGGGAGGCAUUGUCCCAGGCAACCAGUCUGCACUGCGCCCCAUGAUUAAGGCGGGGGUCCCAGGCUUCAAGUGUUUCCUCAUUCACAGUGGAGUGGACGAAUUCCCUCCUGUUACUGAAGCAGAUCUGCAGCCAGCACUGGCUCAACUGAAGGGCACAGGCCGGGUGUUACUGUUUCAUGCAGAGAGAGAGUUGGAACAUGUGACCCCUCCAUUAAACAACCCCCGCGAUUACACAACAUUUCUGAUGAGCCGACCCGAUGAGAUGGAGGUGGAAGCUAUUCGAAUAGUCAUUAAACUUUGCCUCCAGUAUCGGGUUCACUGUCAUAUUGUCCAUCUUUCCACUGCGGAAGCCCUACCCAUCAUAAAUGAAGCCCGUAGAGCAGGGGCUAUGCUUACUGUUGAAACCACUCAUCAUUAUCUCUCACUGGCUGCUGAAGACAUACUAAACGGUGCCACACACUACAAGUGUUGUCCUCCAAUUAGGACAAGAAGCAAUCAGGAACAGCUGUGGUCUGCACUGAAAGCUGGAAAGAUAGACAUGGUGGUCUCUGAUCAUUCUCCGUGCACUGCAGACCUUAAACUGUUGCAGUCUGGAGACUUCCUCAAAGCAUGGGGAGGAAUUUCUUCUCUGCAAUUUGGUCUUCCUCUGUUUUGGACCUCUGCUCGACAACGAGGAUUCACUCUGCAGGACGUGGUGAACCUGAUGUGUAAAAACACAGCCAGGUUGUGUGGGCUUGAGAACAGGAAAGGCUCUCUUGUUGUUGGUAAGGAUGCAGACCUUGUGAUAUGGGAUCCUGACAGAGAGUUUGAGGUGAGAGAUACCUCAAUUCAUCAUAAAAACAAGUUGACCCCAUAUCUUGGCCAGAAACUGCAAGGAGACGUUUUUGGUACCAUUGUCCGUGGAAAGAUUGUAUAUCUACAAGGAAAGUUCUGUGACAAGCCCCUGGGAGAACACAUCCUGAUCAAUAAUGCUCAAUUAUGAACUGAAUCAAGAUUCACUUUUAUGCUCUUUCCCAAAAAUGCAUUACUCAGAGCCCGCUUACUUCAUUUCAGCACACUUGCAUCCAGUAUAGACAAACGUAGAAAUGCGUGUUGUUGGAUGCUCAUGGCCCUGAUGAAGGCAAGACAAAAAAAAGCUUUGCCUUUUUCCAACAAACAGUUUAAAUCAAAUACCUAACUUCCUCAGUCACGGAGCCAGCAAACACUUACUGAGGGCACAGUUGCAGCAAUCGGGACCAUUAGCACAGAGAUUCCACGGAUCACGUAAGUGGCGUAUUUCUGAAAUUUCGACAAUUCAAUUCUUCGGAUAGCAAAAAUCUACAUUUGAAUAGCAACAAUAACAAUAAUUUUAUAGGUAUUGGAGCAGAAAUCAGAUCAGAUACUACAAUUAAAGAAGUGAGAUUUAGAUUCUUUAUCAAGUCAUUUUGACGUUUCAAUUUUUUAAACAAUGCAGAUUACAGACAGUAAAAUACUAGCAAGAAUAAUCUUUGCAUUGCAACAAUAAAGCAAGCAGAUUGUCAGGGCCAUACUCCAAACUAACAGAAAUAAUUCUGAGGCCAUCGUGUUACUAUCUGAAAAUUCAUUCAUUUUCACAAGUCAGCAGGAAAAUGUGCCUGGAACCCUCUUUCCACAAUAUUCUGAAACUAGAGAAGUCCUCGAUAAUCCGGCAUUGCCAUUAGCAAGAUCAACAGAAAAUCAAUCUGAUCCAGGAUCUAAAGAUCUACUUCUGUACAUUCAGAUAAUGAAACAAGGUCAGAACAAUAUUCUAUUGAUGGAGGCCUUUUAGCCCAUAAUGUUUAUGCCAGAACUUUGAAAGAGUUAACAAAUUAGUUUCGCUCCCCUACUCUUACUCCAUAGACCCUGCAAACAUUUCCUUCAAGUACAUAUUUAAUUCCCUUUGCAAGUUACUGCUGUCCUGUUUCCUCCCUUUCAACUAGCAGCUAGUGAGUUGCAUGAUGUCAGGCAGUUAGAUGGAGGUUUACCUCAGGUAGGACAUGUAACAAAGUCUACAUAUUCAGUACACUUAUGAAAACACAGUUGAAAAGAAUUAUAAAUCCAGCAAAAUUCAGUGAGCGGCAGACAGUCCAUAAUACGCAUUAUCUGUGUAAGGUCACACACUUAGCUUUUGUGCUUCCAAUUAAACCUGUUGGGACUAUAACCUGGUGUUGUGUGAUUUUUAACUUUGUACACCCCAGUCCAACACCGGCAUCUCCAAAUCUUAAUUAAUCACAAUCUUUAGUCAUGACCAGCAGGGAAUCUAUCUAAUUAUUUCUUGUCAAGCUGGAAAUAAUUAGGAACUAUAUGCAGUCACCUUUUCUAGCAACAUAUUCUCGAUCAUAAAAGAAUGAAAAGAAUUCUUAUGUUCACUUUAGUUCAUCUGUCAAUUAUCUUAACUGUCAUCUCAGUACUGAAACUUUGGCUAAUGGACAACAGUUUCUCAUUUACUCUAUGAAUCCUCCAGAAUUAUUAUUUUUGACCUUGUGAUUGGAAGAUAAAUUCUGAGGUUUAAUUCAAACAAAUCAAUCUAUACAAGUACCCAAAACAAGGUCUUUAACUUAAUUUAUUCAAUAAGAAUAUCAUUUAGCAUCCAGGAGCACAUAUAGAUGUGAAGACACCCUAUCAUUGUAGAGGCUGCACUGCUUCCAGAAUAAAACAUCAUUCACUGUCCUUACUAUUACAACAAUUGGUGAAAAGGCACACUAUUUGCAGAAGUUAUUUCUUGUAAAUACUGCAUAACAGGGAAAAUUCAAGCUACACCAACACUUUGAUUAGGUUAGAUUCCUUACAGUGUGGAAACAGGGCCUUCGGCCCAGCAAGUCCACACCGACCCUCCG